rnacentral:rRNA from 1 species
GAUGAACGCUGGCGGCGUGCCUAAUACAUGCAAGUCGAGCGGAGCGGGGACGGGUGAGUAACACGUGGAUAACCUCCUAUAGGAGUGGGAUACCUUCGGAAAACCGGAGCUAAACCGGAUACUUAUAACUGGAUCCGAGCUGCAUUAGCUAGUUGGUACGGGAACGGCUCACCAAGGCAACGAUGCAUAGCCGACCUGAGAGGGUGAUCGGCCACACUGGAACUGAGACACGGUCCAGACUCCUACGGGAGGCAGCAGUAGGGAAUCUUCCGCAAUGGGCGAAAGCCUGACGCAGCAACGCCGCGUGAGUGAUGAAGGUCUUCGGAUCGUAAAACUCUGUUAUUAGGGAAGCGGUACCUAAUCAGAAAGCCACGGCUAACUACGUGCCAGCAGCCGCGGUAAUAC